UCCCUGAUGGUCUAGUGGUUAGGACUCAGCAUUUUCAUCACUGUAGCCUGGGUUCAAUCCCUGCUCUGGGAA
rnacentral:tRNA from 1 species